GUAUACCAUACAAUCAUUGCUUACACGAAAUAUAGUAGAUCUUUUGCUUAUAGUAUCUGAUUAACUUACAAAGCCAUGAAAACUUAACAUUGUCCAAUGAACAAAAAAUUCAUGUCAAAUGAACCCUGCUUGACAAGACAUGUUCACAAUACAAUCUUUCAAUAUACUAUAUACAGAGGCCCUUUUGCUUAUACAAUGUAGUAUUGAGUAAAAGACAACCCACAAAAAUCAAACAAUGUACACUGAACCAUGAAAAUGAGGUCAUGUAAAAUGAACCCUGCUUGGUAAGACAUGUUCACCA
rnacentral:lncRNA from 1 species